CAUAGCUCCUUCGACGGCGCCGCCUAGGAACGCGGAGAAAAUAUGACAAAGGAACGGCCAAAAAUAAAAAGAAAGACCUUUCUUUUGAAAAAACAAACAAAUAAAAGGAAUGCAACACGAGGAGUUCCCAGGAGGUCACCCAUCCUAGUACUACUCUCGCCCAAGCACGCUUAACUUCGGAGUUCUGAUGGGAUCCGGUGCUUUAGUGCUGGUAUGAUCGCAUCCGACAUACCGUGCGUUCUCCUCCCCUUUAUGCCCGCGCCUCCGUGUACGGCCCGCCCAUAGCUCCUUCGACGGCGCCGCCUAGGAACGCGGAGAAAAUAUGACAAAGGAACGGCCAAAAAUAAAAAGAAAGACCUUUCUUUUGAAAAAACAAACAAAAAAAAGAAAUGCAACACGAGGACUUCCCAGGAGGUCACCCAUCCUAGUACUACUCUCGCCCAAGCACGCUUAACUUCGGAGUUCUGAUGGGAUCCGGUGCUUUAGUGCUGGUAUGAUCGCAUCCGACAUACCGUGCGUUCUCCUCCCCUUUAUGCCCGCGCCUCCGUGUACGGCCCGCCCAUAGCUCCUUCGACGGCGCCGCCUAGGAACGCGGAGAAAAUAUGACAAAGGAACGGCCAAAAAUAAAAAGAAAGACCUUUCUUUGAAAAAACAAACAAUUCACAGGAAUGCAACACGAGGACUUCCCACGAGGUCACCCAUCCUAGUACUACUCUCGCCCAAGCACGCUUAACUUCGGAGUUCUGAUGGGAUCCGGUGCUUUAGUGCUGGUAUGAUCGCAUCCGACAUACCGUGCGUUCUCCUCCCCUUUAUGCCCGCGCCUCCGUGUACGGCCCGCCCAUAGCUCCUUCGACGGCGCCGCCUAGGAACGCGGAGAAAAUAUGACAAAGGAACGGCCAAAAAUAAAAAGAAAGACCUUUCUUUUGAAAAAACAAACCAAAAAAAAGGAAUGCAACACGAGGACUUCCCAAGAGGUCACCCAUCCUAGUACUACUCUCGCCCAAGCACGCUUAACUUCGGAGUUCUGAUGGGAUCCGGUGCUUUAGUGCUGGUAUGAUCGCAUCCGACAUACCGUGCGUUCUCCUCCCCAUUAUGCCCGCGCCUCCGUGUACGGCCCGCCCAUAGCUCCUUUGACGGCGCCGCUUAGGAACGCGGAGAAAAUAUGACAAAGGAACGGCCAAAAAUAAAAAGAAAGACCUUUCUUUUGAAAAAACAAACAAAUAAAAGGAAUGCAACACGAGGACUUCCCAGGAGGUCACCCAUCCUAGUACUACUCUCGCCCAAGCACGCUUAACUUCGGAGUUCUGAUGGGAUCCGGUGCUUUAGUGCUGGUAUGAUCGCAUCCGACAUACCGUGCGUUCUCCUCCCCUUUAUGCCCGCGCCUCCGUGUACGGCCCGCCCAUAGCUCCUUCGACGGCGCCGCCUAGGAACGCGGAGAAAAUAUGACAAAGGAACGGCCAAAAACAAAAAGAAAGACCUUUCUUUUGAAAAAACAAACAAAAAAAAGGAAUGCAACACGAGGACUUCCCAGGAGGUCACCCAUCCUAGUACUACUCUCGCCCAAGCACGCUUAACUUCGGAGUUCUGAUGGGAUCCGGUGCUUUAGUGCUGGUAUGAUCGCAUCCGACAUACCGUGCGUUCUCCUCCCCUUUAUGCCCGCGCCUCCGUGUACGGCCCGCCCAUAGCUCCUUCGACGGCGCCGCCUAGGAACGCGGAGAAAAUAUGACAAAGGAACGGCCAAAAAUAAAAAGAAAGACCUUUCUUUUGAAAAAACAAACAAAUAAAAGGAAUGCAACACGAGGACUUCCCAGGAGGUCACCCAUCCUAGUACUACUCUCGCCCAAGCACGCUUAACUUCGGAGUUCUGAUGGGAUCCGGUGCUUUAGUGCUGGUAUGAUCGCAUCCGACAUACCGUGCGUUCUCCUCCCCUUUAUGCCCGCGCCUCCGUGUACGGCCCGCCCAUAGCUCCUUCGACGGCGCCGCCUAGGAACGCGGAGAAAAUAUGACAAAGGAACGGCCAAAAAUAAAAAGAAAGACCUUUCUUUUGAAAAAACAAACAAAUAAAAGGAAUGCAACACGAGGACUUCCCAGGAGAUCACCCAUCCUAGUACUACUCUCGCCCAAGCACGCUUAACUUCGGAGUUCUGAUGGGAUCCGGUGCUUUAGUGCUGGUAUGAUCGCAUCCGACAUACCGUGCGUUCUCCUCCCCUUUAUGCCCGCGCCUCCGUGUACGGCCCGCCCAUAGCUCCUUCGACGGCGCCGCCUAGGAACGCGGAGAAAAUAUGACAAAGGAACGGCCAAAAAUAAAAAGAAAGACCUUUCUUUUGAAAAAACAAACAAAAAAAAGGAAUGCAACACGAGGACUUCCCACGAGGUCACCCAUCCUAGUACUACUCUAGUACCAAGCACGCUUAACUUCGGAGUUCUGAUGGGAUCCGGUGCUUUAGUGCUGGUAUGAUCGCAUCCGACAUACCGUGCGUUCUCCUCCCCUUUAUGCCCGCGCCUCCGUGUACGGCCCGCCCAUAGCUCCUUCGACGGCGCCGCCUAGGAACGCGGAGAAAAUAUGACAAAGGAACGGCCAAAAAUAAAAAGAAAGACCUUUCUUUUGAAAAAACAAACAAAAAAAAGGAAUGCAACACGAGGACUUCCCAGGAGGUCACCCAUCCUAGUACUACUCUCGCCCAAGCACGCUUAACUUCGGAGUUCUGAUGGGAUCCGGUGCUUUAGUGCUGGUAUGAUCGCAUCCGACAUACCGUGCGUUCUCCUCCCCUUUAUGCCCGCGCCUCCGUGUACGGCCCGCCCAUAGCUCCUUCGACGGCGCCGCCUAGGAACGCGGAGAAAAUAUGACAAAGGAACGGCCAAAAAUAAAAAGAAAGACCUUUCUUUUGAAAAAACAAACAAAUAAAAGGAAUGCAACACGAGGACUUCCCAGGAGGUCACCCAUCCUAGUACUACUCUCGCCCAAGCACGCUUAACUUCGGAGUUCUGAUGGGAUCCGGUGCUUUAGUGCUGGUAUGAUCGCAUCCGACAUACCGUGCGUUCUCCUCCCCUUUAUGCCCGCGCCUCCGUGUACGGCCCGCCCAUAGCUCCUUCGACGGCGCCGCCUAGGAACGCGGAGAAAAUAUGACAAAGGAACGGCCAAAAAUAAAAAGAAAGACCUUUCUUUUGAAAAAACAAACAAAAAAAAGGAAUGCAACACGAGGACUUCCCAGGAGGUCACCCAUCCUAGUACUACUCUCGCCCAAGCACGCUUAACUUCGGAGUUCUGAUGGGAUCCGGUGCUUUAGUGCUGGUAUGAUCGCAUCCGACAUACCGUGCGUUCUCCUCCCCUUUAUGCCCGCGCCUCCGUGUACGGCCCGCCCAUAGCUCCUUCGACGGCGCCGCCUAGGAACGCGGAGAAAAUAUGACAAAGGAACGGCCAAAAAUAAAAAGAAAGACCUUUCUUUUGAAAAAACAAACAAAAAAAAGGAAUGCAACACGAGGACUUCCCAGGAGGUCACCCAUCCUAGUACUACUCUCGCCCAAGCACGCUUAACUUCGGAGUUCUGAUGGGAUCCGGUGCUUUAGUGCUGGUAUGAUCGCAUCCGACAUACCGUGCGUUCUCCUCCCCUUUAUGCCCGCGCCUCCGUGUACGGCCCGCCCAUAGCUCCUUCGACGGCGCCGCCUAGGAACGCGGAGAAAAUAUGACAAAGGAACGGCCAAAAAUAAAAAGAAAGACCUUUCUUUUGAAAAAACAAACAAAUAAAAGGAAUGCAACACAAGGACUUCCCAGGAGGUCACCCAUCCUAGUACUACUCUCGCCCAAGCACGCUUAACUUCGGAGUUCUGAUGGGAUCCGGUGCUUUAGUGCUGGUAUGAUCGCAUCCGACAUACCGUGCGUUCUCCUCCCCUUUAUGCCCGCGCCUCCGUGUACGGCCCGCCCAUAGCUCCUUCGACGGCGCCGCCUAGGAACGCGGAGAAAAUAUGACAAAGGAACGGCCAAAAAUAAAAAGAAAGACCUUUCUUUUGAAAAAACAAACGCCUCCGUGUACGGCCCGCCCAUAGCUCCUUCGACGGCGCCGCCUAGGAACGCGGAGAAAAUAUGACAAAGGAACGGCCAAAAAUAAAAAGAAAGACCUUUCUUUUGAAAAAACAAACAAAAAAAAGGAAUGCAACACGAGGACUUCCCAGGAGGUCACCCAUCCUAGUACUACUCUCGCCCAAGCACGCUUAACUUCGGAGUUCUGAUGGGAUCCGGUGCUUUAGUGCUGGUAUGAUCGCAUCCGACAUACCGUGCGUUCUCCUCCCCUUUAUGCCCGCGCCUCCGUGUACGGCCCGCCCAUAGCUCCUUCGACGGCGCCGCCUAGGAACGCGGAGAAAAUAUGACAAAGGAACGGCCAAAAAUAAAAAGAAAGACCUUUCUUUUGAAAAAACAAACGCCUCCGUGUACGGCCCGCCCAUAGCUCCUUCGACGGCGCCGCCUAGGAACGCGGAGAAAAUAUGACAAAGGAACGGCCAAAAAUAAAAAGAAAGACCUUUCUUUUGAAAAAACAAACAAAAAAAAGGAAUGCAACACGAGGACUUCCCAGGAGGUCACCCAUCCUAGUACUACUCUCGCCCAAGCACGCUUAACUUCGGAGUUCUGAUGGGAUCCGGUGCUUUAGUGCUGGUAUGAUCGCAUCCGACAUACCGUGCGUUCUCCUCCCCUUUAUGCCCGCGCCUCCGUGUACGGCCCGCCCAUAGCUCCUUCGACGGCGCCGCCUAGGAACGCGGAGAAAAUAUGACAAAGGAACGGCCAAAAAUAAAAAGAAAGACCUUUCUUUUGAAAAAACAAACAAAUAAAAGGAAUGCAACACGAGGACUUCCCAGGAGGUCACCCAUCCUAGUACUACUCUCGCCCAAGCACGCUUAACUUCGGAGUUCUGAUGGGAUCCGGUGCUUUAGUGCUGGUAUGAUCGCAUCCGACAUACCGUGCGUUCUCCUCCCCUUUAUGCCCGCGCCUCCGUGUACGGCCCGCCCAUAGCUCCUUCGACGGCGCCGCCUAGGAACGCGGAGAAAAUAUGACAAAGGAACGGCCAAAAAUAAAAAGAAAGACCUUUCUUUUGAAAAAACAAACAAAAAAAAAGGAAUGCAACACGAGGACUUCCCAGGAGGUCACCCAUCCUAGUACUACUCUCGCCCAAGCACGCUUAACUUCGGAGUUCUGAUGGGAUCCGGUGCUUUAGUGCUGGUAUGAUCGCAUCCGACAUACCGUGCGUUCUCCUCCCCUUUAUGCCCGCGCCUCCGUGUACGGCCCGCCCAUAGCUCCUUCGACGGCGCCGCCUAGGAACGCGGAGAAAAUAUGACAAAGGAACGGCCAAAAAUAAAAAGAAAGACCUUUCUUUUGAAAAAACAAACAAAAAAAAGGAAUGCAACACGAGGACUUCCCAGGAGGUCACCCAUCCUAGUACUACUCUCGCCCAAGCACGCUUAACUUCGGAGUUCUGAUGGGAUCCGGUGCUUUAGUGCUGGUAUGAUCGCAUCCGACAUACCGUGCGUUCUCCUCCCCUUUAUGCCCGCGCCUCCGUGUACGGCCCGCCCAUAGCUCCUUCGACGGCGCCGCCUAGGAACGCGGAGAAAAUAUGACAAAGGAACGGCCAAAAAUAAAAAGAAAGACCUUUCUUUUGAAAAAACAAACAAAAAAAAGGAAUGCAACACGAGGACUUCCCAGGAGGUCACCCAUCCUAGUACUACUCUCGCCCAAGCACGCUUAACUUCGGAGUUCUGAUGGGAUCCGGUGCUCUAGUGCUGGUAUGAUCGCAUCCGACAUACCGUGCGUUCUCCUCCCCUUUAUGCCCGCGCCUCCGUGUACGGCCCGCCCAUAGCUCCUUCGACGGCGCCGCCUAGGAACGCGGAGAAAAUAUGACAAAGGAACGGCCAAAAAUAAAAAGAAAGACCUUUCUUUUGAAAAAACAAACAAAAAAAAAGGAAUGCAACACGAGGACUUCCCAGGAGGUCACCCAUCCUAGUACUACUCUCGCCCAAGCACGCUUAACUUCGGAGUUCUGAUGGGAUCCGGUGCUUUAGUGCUGGUAUGAUCGCAUCCGACAUACCGUGCGUUCUCCUCCCCUUUAUGCCCGCGCCUCCGUGUACGGCCCGCCCAUAGCUCCUUCGACGGCGCCGCCUAGGAACGCGGAGAAAAUAUGACAAAGGAACGGCCAAAAAUAAAAAGAAAGACCUUUCUUUUGAAAAAACAAACAAAUAAAAGGAAUGCAACACGAGGACUUCCUAGGAGGUCACCCAUCCUAGUACUACUCUCGCCCAAGCACGCUUAACUUCGGAGUUCUAAUGGGAUCCGGUGCUUUAGUGCUGGUAUGAUCGCAUCCGACAUACCGUGCGUUCUCCUCCCCUUUAUGCCCGCGCCUCCGUGUACGGCCCGCCCAUAGCUCCUUCGACGGCGCCGCCUAGGAACGCGGAGAAAAUAUGACAAAGGAACGGCCAAAAAUAAAAAGAAAGACCUUUCUUUUGAAAAAACAAACAAAAAAAAGGAAUGCAACACGAGGACUUCCCAGGAGGUCACCCAUCCUAGUACUACUCUCGCCCAAGCACGCUUAACUUCGGAGUUCUGAUGGGAUCCGGUGCUUUAGUGCUGGUAUGAUCGCAUCCGACAUACCGUGCGUUCUCCUCCCCUUUAUGCCCGCGCCUCCGUGUACGGCCCGCCCAUAGCUCCUUCGACGGCGCCGCCUAGGAACGCGGAGAAAAUAUGACAAAGGAACGGCCAAAAAUAAAAAGAAAGACCUUUCUUUUGAAAAAACAAACAAAAAAAAGGAAUGCAACACGAGGACUUCCCAGGAGGUCACCCAUCCUAGUACUACUCUCGCCCAAGCACGCUUAACUUCGGAGUUCUGAUGGGAUCCGGUGCUUUAGUGCUGGUAUGAUCGCAUCCGACAUACCGUGCGUUCUCCUCCCCUUUAUGCCCGCGCCUCCGUGUACGGCCCGCCCAUAGCUCCUUCGACGGCGCCGCCUAGGAACGCGGAGAAAAUAUGACAAAGGAACGGCCAAAAAUAAAAAGAAAGACCUUUCUUUUGAAAAAACAAACAAAAAAAAGGAAUGCAACACGAGGACUUCCCAGGAGGUCACCCAUCCUAGUACUACUCUCGCCCAAGCACGCUUAACUUCGGAGUUCUGAUGGGAUCCGGUGCUUUAGUGCUGGUAUGAUCGAAUCCGACAUACCGUGCGUUCUCCUCCCCUUUAUGCCCGCGCCUCCGUGUACGGUCCGCCCAUAGCUCCUUCGACGGCGCCGCCUAGGAACGCGGAGAAAAUAUGACAAAGGAACGGCCAAAAAUAAAAAGAAAGACCUUUCUUUUGAAAAAACAAACAAAUAAAAGGAAUGCAACACGAGGACUUCCCAGGAGGUCACCCAUCCUAGUACUACUCUCGCCCAAGCACGCUUAACUUCGGAGUUCUGAUGGGAUCCGGUGCUUUAGUGCUGGUAUGAUCGCAUCCGACAUACCGUGCGUUCUCCUCCCCUUUAUGCCCGCGCCUCCGUGUACGGCCCGCCCAUAGCUCCUUCGACGGCGCCGCCUAGGAACGCGGAGAAAAUAUGACAAAGGAACGGCCAAAAAUAAAAAGAAAGACCUUUCUUUUGAAAAAACAAACAAAUAAAAGGAAUGCAACACGAGGACUUCCCAGGAGGUCACCCAUCCUAGUACUACUCUCGCCCAAGCACGCUUAACUUCGGAGUUCUGAUGGGAUCCGGUGCUUUAGUGCUGGUAUGAUCGCAUCCGACAUACCGUGCGUUCUCCUCCCCUUUAUGCCCGCGCCUCCGUGUACGGCCCGCCCAUAGCUCCUUCGACGGCGCCGCCUAGGAACGCGGAGAAAAUAUGACAAAGGAACGGCCAAAAAUAAAAAGAAAGACCUUUCUUUUGAAAAAACAAACAAAAAAAAGGAAUGCAGCACCAGGACUUCCCGGAAGGUCACCCAUCCAAAUACAACUCUCGCCGAACCACGUUUAACUUCGAAUUUCUAAUGGAAUCCGGGGCUUUAGAGCUGGAAUGAUCGCAUCCGACAUACCGUGCGUUCUCCUCCCCUUUAUGCCCGCGCCUCCGUGUACGGCCCGCCCAUAGCUCCUUCGACGGCGCCGCCUAGGAACGCGGAGAAAAUAUGACAAAGGAGCGGCCAAAAAUAAAAAGAAAGACCUUUCUUUUGAAAAAACAAACAAAUAAAAGGAAUGCAACACGAGGACUUCCUAGGAGGUCACCCAUCCUAGUACUACUCUCGCCCAAGCACGCUUAACUUCGGAGUUCUGAUGGGAUCCGGUGCUUUAGUGCUGGUAUGAUCGCAUCCGACAUACCGUGCGUUCUCCUCCCCUUUAUGCCCGCGCCUCCGUGUACGGCCCGCCCAUAGCUCCUUCGACGGCGCCGCCUAGGAACGCGGAGAAAAUAUGACAAAGGAACGGCCAAAAAUAAAAAGAAAGACCUUUCUUUUGAAAAAACAAACGCCUCCGUGUACGGCCCGCCCAUAGCUCCUUCGACGGCGCCGCCUAGGAACGCGGAGAAAAUAUGACAAAGGAACGGCCAAAAAUAAAAAGAAAGACCUUUCUUUUGAAAAAACAAACAAAAAAAAGGAAUGCAACACGAGGACUUCCCAGGAGGUCACCCAUCCUAGUACUACUCUCGCCCAAGCACGCUUAACUUCGGAGUUCUGAUGGGAUCCGGUGCUUUAGUGCUGGUAUGAUCGCAUCCGACAUACCGUGCGUUCUCCUCCCCUUUAUGCCCGCGCCUCCGUGUACGGCCCGCCCAUAGCUCCUUCGACGGCGCCGCCUAGGAACGCGGAGAAAAUAUGACAAAGGAACGGCCAAAAAUAAAAAGAAAGACCUUUCUUUUGAAAAAACAAACAAAUAAAAGGAAUGCAACACGAGGACUUCCCAGGAGGUCACCCAUCCUAGUACUACUCUCGCCCAAGCACGCUUAACUUCGGAGUUCUGAUGGGAUCCGGUGCUUUAGUGCUGGUAUGAUCGCAUUCGACAUACCGAUGCGUUCUCAUCCCCGUUAUGCGCCGCGCCUCUGUGUACGGCCCGCCCAUAGCUCCUUUGACUGCGCCUCGUAGGAUCGCGGAGAAUAUAUGACAAAGGCACGGCCAAACAUAAAACGAAAGACCUCUCUUUUGCAACAACAAACAAAAUAAAGGAAUGCAACACGAGGACUUCCCAGGAGGUCACCCAUCCUAGUACUAGUCUCGCUCAAGCACGCUGAUCUUCGGAGUUCUGAUGGGAUCCGGUGCUUUAGUGCUGGUAUGAUCGCAUCCGACAUACCGUGCGUUCUCCUCCCCUUUAUGCCCGCGCCUCCGUGUACGGCCCGCCCAUAGCUCCUUCGACGGCGCCGCCUAGGAACGCGGAGAAAAUAUGACAAAGGAACGGCCAAAAAUAAAAAGAAAGACCUUUCUUUUGAAAAAACAAACAAAAAAAAGGAAUGCAACACGAGGACUUCCCAGGAGGUCACCCAUCCUAGUACUACUCUCGCCCAAGCACGCUUAACUUCGGAGUUCUGAUGGGAUCCGGUGCUUUAGUGCUGGUAUGAUCGCAUCCGACAUACCGUGCGUUCUCCUCCCCUUUAUGCCCGCGCCUCCGUGUACGGCCCGCCCAUAGCUCCUUCGACGGCGCCGCCUAGGAACGCGGAGAAAAUAUGACAAAGGAACGGCCAAAAAUAAAAAGAAAGACCUUUCUUUUGAAAAAACAAACAAAUAAAAGGAAUGCAACACGAGGACUUCCCAGGAGGUCACCCAUCCUAGUACUACUCUCGCCCAAGCACGCUUAACUUCGGAGUUCUGAUGGGAUCCGGUGCUUUAGUGCUGGUAUGAUCGCAUCCGACAUACCGUGCGUUCUCCUCCCCUUUAUGCCCGCGCCUCCGUGUACGGCCCGCCCAUAGCUCCUUCGACGAGCCCGCCUAGGAACGCGGAGAAAAUAUGACAAAGGAACGGCCAAAAAUAAAAAGAAAGACCUUUCUUUUGAAAAAACAAACAAAUAAAAGGAAUGCAACACGAGGACUUCCCAG
rnacentral:lncRNA from 1 species